AUUGAACGCUGGCGGCAGGCCUAACACAUGCAAGUCGAACGAGCGGCGGACGGGUGAGUAAUGUCUGGGAAUCUGCCUGAUGGAGGGGGAUAACUACUGGAAACGGUGGCUAAUACCGCAUACCAUCAGAUGUGCCCAGAUGGGAUUAGCUAGUUGGUGGGGUAACGGCUCACCAAGGCGACGAUCCCUAGCUGGUCUGAGAGGAUGACCAGCCACACUGGGACUGAGACACGGCCCAGACUCCUACGGGAGGCAGCAGUGGGGAAUAUUGCACAAUGGGCGCAAGCCUGAUGCAGCCAUGCCGCGUGUAUGAAGAAGGCCUUAGGGUUGUAAAGUACUUUCAGCGGGGAGGCGUUACCCGCAGAAGAAGCACCGGCUAACUCCGUGCCAGCCGCCGCGGUAAUAC
rnacentral:rRNA from 1 species